GCUUCACCUCCUCAAGCACUGAAGUAUGACAAACGUGGUUCACACCUUCAGCUCUGCGAAGAGAACCGGUUCCGGUUGUUUUGGUGCCCAGAACUGACCUCUGACCUCACGUGGGACAACCUACAGACAUCCAGCACUGUGGUGUCCAACUUUAGCAAAAAUACCCUUUUGGACAACACACUGCUAGACAGCAGUGAGUAAGUGAAAAAGAAUGUUGUCCCUGGGAAAAACUAGACCAGACAACCGGAGGACAAGAUGUGUUUUUUUCUGAUCUUCAAACUUUAAAUGUGAGUAUUUCCCUCAGUAGGCAUGAGAAAAAGAUUUAGGGCACUGGGUCUGUAUUGCAAUUAUAAUAAUAAGGGCAAUGAAAAUCGUGGUCAAAACUGGUAUGUAAGGAAUAUGAAAAGUCAUAAAUACAUCUCUAACUUGCAGUGGUUUUUAAGAUACAAAAAUUUUUCAAAAAUCUAGGGAAAAUUUUGAAAAUAACCUGCAAUAAAGACUGUGAGGAACAAGAAAUGAAGAUGCUCUUUUGCACUGGGAGUUUUCAAUGUCUGACGCCACUUCCAAGAUCUCCAUCAAAUAGUGCCAUUCUCCUGACCCAGAUCCUCUCCUUCGACAAAACGGACCAAAACAUCAGACCUGGUCAUAAUGUAGCCACAACAGGAUAGCGUGGGUUUCACUCCCAGUUUUUUUUUGGUUUCCUUGAUUCCAGCACUGUAAACGAUUAAUGAUGUGGACUUUUGACCAGACAUUUUAGAAAAUAUCCAACUCUAUAAAAUGUGUAAAAUAAAAUGAACUAUUAAAGAUACGAUUGUCUGCUUACAAACAUAUUUUGCACUUUUGGGAGAUUGAGAAAGCCUGGAUGUCUGUUUCUAGAUGGGGGUCAGGGGCACUGGGACUGACUUACAGCAUCGCUAAUGGAGACAGUACCGACUGUCAAAGACACAUAUUACAGCACCUCCGUCUCCGCAGCCCUUGAUGGGGAAAUUUGUCAUCUUAAGCUUGAAAUCAAGCCCUUUCCCUAAAACAAGAUCCAUUAGGCACCAGGGGUGACAUUUAAAAGGAAUUUAGCAUUAUUAGUUAAAAUUCAGCAGAAGACUUGCAGGCAUUUUGACUGGCAGCCUAUAAGCAUAU